CUUCUGAUAUCUUCUGACCAUUUAUCUCACCUUGAAAUGAUUUUGCAUUUGGAGGGGGUUUUCCCCUCUGGUGAAUCGUGGUAUUGGCAAAUUGAGAAUACUGAAUUUCAGUUCUAAACUGUCGUCAUUACUGAAUGCUCUACUGCAGCAUCUUCAAUAAACCAUUGCUGUCAAGAAUGAUGGACAAAUACAAGGGAUUGCUCUAGUGAGACAAAACCUGUGCAGAGCAAUUUGUUCACCACAGACACACCUCACGUGGGAGAUCAAAGCAAUUGCUGAUUCCAGCAGUUGUUUAAUUUGUGCCCCUGUAACUUGGUAACUAAACACAUUAGUAACUCCCAUGGAAAU